CAAUCUCUGUGUGCAUUUUCAUCUGUUUUAGCCAAAGAACAGUAAAUGCCACUGAGAUUAGA
rnacentral:pre_miRNA from 1 species